UCGAGAAUUUUUCUCAAUGGGGGAAACCCUGAAGGAGCGACGCCGCGUGGAGGAUGAAGGCUUUCGGGUUGUAAACUCCUGUCAUUUGGGAACAAGUUGCACACGUUAACUGCGUGGGCAUUGAUAGUAUCAGAAGAGGAAGGGACGGCUAACUCUGUGCCAGCAGCCGCGGUAAUACAGAGGUCCCGAGCGUUGUUCGGAUUCAUUGGGCGUAAAGGGAGCGUAGGCGGUAGCGUAAGUCGGGUGUGAAAUCUUGGGGCUCAACCUCAAAACUGCACUCGAUACUGCGUUGCUAGAGGACUGGAGAGGAGACUGGAAUUCACGGUGUAGCAGUGAAAUGCGUAGAUAUCGUGAGGAAGACCAGCGGCGAAGGCGGGUCUCUGGACAGUUCCUGACGCUGAUGCUCGAAGGCUAGGGGAGCAAACGG
rnacentral:rRNA from 1 species